UAAGAGUAUGAAUCAAAGUGAUAAACACAAAGUAGUGUGGAGUUAGUUGGAAACUCACAAUCAUUCACAUUUUAAUAAACUUUACUGGUUUUCCGCAUGUCGCCCAUAGUUUUAUAUUUCCCCGGCCCUCAACCAAAUUCGAGAACCCUCCGGACACUGCACCGGUUUAUUCAACCCCACUCUCAAUCGCAUCGUACGCACACAGAAGAAGACUGCCAACCCAAUACCUAUUUCACAAAUUCUGAAAACAUAGUCACAGCUACCGCCGCCAUGACUGCCGGACAGCCGACUGUGAACAAACCCAGCCGUAGCGACGACGUAUUGGAUGCAGCCCAGCAGCUCCAAAUCUACAACCAGGUCCGAGCGCAUUUCGAUUCCGUGGCUCCCAAACGGCCGAUCAAACCCAACCGAAGCGAGCCCGAUUCGGUCUCGUCGUCCAUCUCUAGUCCAGAUGAAGAUAUCCAUGUCCCGGAGCUCGACAAGCUCCGGUCCCUUCAGUAUCAAUCUCAAGCGAUAGUUUCUCAGAGCACUGCCCUGGAGCAAGAGGAGUUUGUGGAGACUCAAUACUACAAGGCGUUGGACUCCAUUGACAAACAGCACCACACAACAGGAACUGGGUUUAUAAAGACCGUGGACGAUCACAAGAGCGGAGAUGGCUAUGAUCUUCAACUGGAUGGCCGCCCUGAGAACGAGGGAAAAUACAAGGAAAUGGUGUGCAAAACUAACCCGGCGACAAAUGACUGGAUACCUAAGUUUGAUGAUUACCAGUGAGCUUGCUGAAAUUAGGUUGAGUAUUCUUCUUCCAAGCCUAAUCGAAGCGAGAAUUGUUGAGUGGCAGCCACACAGUGGAAGAACAUCGACUUCUACAGAUUUGGUUGAUAGGGAAGUGUUUGGUAUAAAAAUUGGUAGGUGAGUGUUGUGAUCAUCCAGCUCUACUGGCUUUGGUGAAAUCUUGCUAGUAGUUUUUUUCGGUGAAAUCUGUUCUGUUCGACAAUGGGUGAGACUUUCGGAUUGUCAAGUUGUUCUGACUUGAUUAUCUCUUUGCCAAGUUUGUUGUGGUCAUGGAAUGAACAUCUUUUAUUAGUGAACUUGAUGCCUAUGUGAUGAGACUUGAAUUUUUUCAGUUCUUUUCUAAGAUAUACUGGUUUGUAGCACAAUUUGUUCCAUGAUUCUUGUCAGUUGCUUGUAUAUUAACAUCCCAAUUGGGACUUGA